rnacentral:rRNA from 1 species
GACGAACGCUGGCGGCGUGCUUAACACAUGCAAGUCGAACGGUGACGAGGAGCUUGCUCCUCUGAUCAGUGGCGAACGGGUGAGUAACACGUGAGCAACCUGCCCCAGACUCUGGGAUAACAGUUGGAAACAGCUGCUAAUACCGGAUACGAGACGGAGAGGCAUCUCUACCGUCUGGAAAGUUUUUCGGCUGGGAUGGACUCGCGGCCUAUCAGCUAGUUGGUGAGGUAAUGGCUCACCAAGGCGACGACGGGUAGCCGGCCUGAGAGGGCGACCGGCCACACUGGGACUGAGACACGGCCCAGACUCCUACGGGAGGCAGCAGUGGGGAAUAUUGCACAAUGGGCGAAAGCCUGAUGCAGCGACGCCGCGUGAGGGAUGACGGCCUUCGGGUUGUAAACCUCUUUCAGCAGGGAGAAGCGAAAGUGACGGUACCUGCAGAAGAAGCACCGGCUAACUAACGUGCCAGCAGCCGCGUAAG